GACAAACGCUGGCGGCGUGCUUAACACAUGCAAGUCGAACGGAAAGGCCCUGCUUUUGUGGGGUGCUCGAGUGGCGAACGGGUGAGUAACACGUGAGUAACCUGCCCUUGACUUUGGGAUAACUUCAGGAAACUGGGGCUAAUACCGGAUAGGAGCUCCUGCUGCAUGGUGGGGGUUGGAAAGUUUCGGCGGUUGGGGAUGGACUCGCGGCUUAUCAGCUUGUUGGUGGGGUAGUGGCUUACCAAGGUUUUGCCGGGUAGCCGGCCGGUGGGGGAGGCCGGCCCGCUGGGGGUGGAAUUAGGCCCCGGACCCCUUCGGGGGGGAGGAGGGGGGAGUUAUCACUGGGGGGCGGGCGCCAGCCGGAGCCAGCCCGGCGGCGGGAGGGAGGCAGUCGUGUUGGAAGCCAAUUUCGCUUGCCAGGGAGGGUAAUGACAGGAACGGGAGAAAAAGCCCCGGCCAACUCCGUG
rnacentral:rRNA from 1 species